AUGAGUUUAAGGUUAAAUGAGUU
rnacentral:snRNA from 1 species